CUCAUUCAGUUGAAGGGGAUCCCGACAUUCUUUGCGUGAAGGAAAAAGCCAUUGCUAUGCGCGGGCGCUUCGCAUUUCGCUCUAACGCGGGACGAAGUAAAAUCCAUUUCCAUCGGAGAAGCGAAAUGGCAGCGGAUGGAAGGCGGUUCGGAAAUGCCUUAAACUUUAGACCAAUUACCAGGUGGAAUACUGGAUCCCUCAGGCUGAUGUCAUUUUCUUCCUUUUGAAAAUGAUUUGUGUUGCUUUUUAUGCGUUUGAGAAGUGAUCUUAAAUGCUGAAGAUCGAAAACAGUGCUAUCUUCUAGAAAAGAUGGAACACCCGAUUCCUCCGGCUGGCAUCCUUUCCUGAAACUCAUCCGUGUCGCUUUUUGUCUGUUUGAGAAGUGACCUUAAAUGCUGGGUGCUGAAUCUCGGCUUUGAAAACUGCCCUAAAAAGGUGGUCGGGUGUGGAGACGCAUAAACUUACUGUGCUGAGCUGUGAGAAAAGCAAGAUGGAUGAGAAGUAAAAUCCACAAGAACUGCAAUUUUGGAAGUGUCCAGCAGGAGGAACGUCAGUGAGAUGGGACAUUUGCCAAGGUCCACCCUCAAGAAAUUCCCCCCUUACACCUCUCAUGGAGAUUCCUCUCUUGACAACUUUCAGCACAUGGCACCAGCUUAUUAACCUUGGUCCCUUCUUUCCCAAUAGCUUCUCCUCUUGUGUGGUCUAUUGUGGAUAAGUUUAUUUCCACUUAUGACAACAUCACCACUUUUGGACUUCUAAAGAACAGGAUGGAUGUAAAAUCAGACACAAUUUUCCAUAGAAUAAAAUGCUACAAUAGA